UUUUAUGGAGAGUUUGAUCCUGGCUCAGGAUGAACGCUGGCGGCGUGCCUAAUACAUGCAAGUCGAGCGAACGGACGAGAAGCUUGCUUCUCUGAUGUUAGCGGCGGACGGGUGAGUAACACGUGGAUAACCUACCUAUAAGACUGGGAUAACUUCGGGAAACCGGAGCUAAUACCGGAUAAUAUUUUGAACCGCAUGGUUCAAAAGUGAAAGACGGUCUUGCUGUCACUUAUAGAUGGAUCCGCGCUGCAUUAGCUAGUUGGUAAGGUAACGGCUUACCAAGGCAACGAUGCAUAGCCGACCUGAGAGGGUGAUCGGCCACACUGGAACUGAGACACGGUCCAGACUCCUACGGGAGGCAGCAGUAGGGAAUCUUCCGCAAUGGGCGAAAGCCUGACGGAGCAACGCCGCGUGAGUGAUGAAGGUCUUCGGAUCGUAAAACUCUGUUAUUAGGGAAGAACAUAUGUGUAAGUAACUGUGCACAUCUUGACGGUACCUAAUCAGAAAGCCACGGCUAACUACGUGCCAGCAGCCGCGGUAAUACGUAGGUGGCAAGCGUUAUCCGGAAUUAUUGGGCGUAAAGCGCGCGUAGGCGGUUUUUUAAGUCUGAUGUGAAAGCCCACGGCUCAACCGUGGAGGGUCAUUGGAAACUGGAAAACUUGAGUGCAGAAGAGGAAAGUGGAAUUCCAUGUGUAGCGGUGAAAUGCGCAGAGAUAUGGAGGAACACCAGUGGCGAAGGCGACUUUCUGGUCUGUAACUGACGCUGAUGUGCGAAAGCGUGGGGAUCAAACAGGAUUAGAUACCCUGGUAGUCCACGCCGUAAACGAUGAGUGCUAAGUGUUAGGGGGUUUCCGCCCCUUAGUGCUGCAGCUAACGCAUUAAGCACUCCGCCUGGGGAGUACGACCGCAAGGUUGAAACUCAAAGGAAUUGACGGGGACCCGCACAAGCGGUGGAGCAUGUGGUUUAAUUCGAAGCAACGCGAAGAACCUUACCAAAUCUUGACAUCCUUUGACAACUCUAGAGAUAGAGCCUUCCCCUUCGGAGGACAAAGUGACAGGUGGUGCAUGGUUGUCGUCAGCUCGUGUCGUGAGAUGUUGGGUUAAGUCCCGCAACGAGCGCAACCCUUAAGCUUAGUUGCCAUCAUUAAGUUGGGCACUCUAAGUUGACUGCCGGUGACAAACCGGAGGAAGGUGGGGAUGACGUCAAAUCAUCAUGCCCCUUAUGAUUUGGGCUACACACGUGCUACAAUGGACAAUACAAAGGGCAGCGAAACCGCGAGGUCAAGCAAAUCCCAUAAAGUUGUUCUCAGUUCGGAUUGUAGUCUGCAACUCGACUACAUGAAGCUGGAAUCGCUAGUAAUCGUAGAUCAGCAUGCUACGGUGAAUACGUUCCCGGGUCUUGUACACACCGCCCGUCACACCACGAGAGUUUGUAACACCCGAAGCCGGUGGAGUAACCUUUUAGGAGCUAGCCGUCGAAGGUGGGACAAAUGAUUGGGGUGAAGUCGUAACAAGGUAGCCGUAUCGGAAGGUGCGGCUGGAUCACCUCCUUUCUAA
rnacentral:rRNA from 1 species